CGGACCGGACCUGACCGCGGCCCCCGGCCCCGACCCGCCGCGACCCCGGACCUGCCCCGACUCCAGACCCCGGCCCUGCUCCGCCCACCUCGGUCCAGGUUCCGCCCCCAACCCCGACGUCAGCUCGGCCCCGGCCCCGGCCCCGGCCCCACCCGCCGCAACUUGGGUCCAGAUUCCGCCCAGCCCCCUACUCCCCCCGCAGCCCACACCUCCCCCCCCCCCCCCCGGCCUACGCGGUGGGGGGCGGCACCUGGGCUCGGCCAAGCCCCAUCCCCGCCCCGCACCCCCGUGCACCUGCCGGCCUUCCCCGGAGAGCAGGGAGCAGGGCCUCGGGCGGGGCGGGUGACUGGCCUCGCGCUUAGACCCAGUCGUUUGCUCUGGGCCUCCAGGCCUGGCCGCAGCCCGGCUCGGGUGGGGCUGGGCGGGACCGGAGCUCCCAGAAACCUGGCUGCCACCCGCGGGGCAGACCCAGAGGGGCCGGCCAGGGGAGGGCGCCGCCUGGGCGCCAGCCCCUCCCGGUUGGGGAUCCCGUCAGGUUGGCUGGCUCCCUGCGACCUGCUCUCUGGUCGAUGACAUCCACCCCGAGGGUUUUUGUGACGUUAAUUGGGAUCAUGUACACGAGGUUCUUGGCGCAGGGUAACACGGAAUGGGAGAUAAGGUAUGCUGGGGUUUUGUUCACGCUUUUUGAAUGCUUAUGGAAAGUGCUCCCUGGGCAGCCCCAGUGGCUCAGAGGUUUAGCACCGCCUGCAGCCCAGUGCAGGAUCCUGGAGUCCCAGGAUCGAGUCCUGCGUCUGGCUCCCUGCGUGGAGCCUGCUUCUCCCUCUGCCUGUGUCUCUGCCUCUCUCUCUGCAUCUCUAUGAAUAAGUAACUAAAAUCUUAAAAAAAAAAAAAAGUGCUUCCUGAGGGGUCCUGUUGAGCCUUAGCAGCAGGAAAGACAUGGGGAUGCUGGGAAGAGGAGUGGGGCCUGCCCUGGAGGCAGGAGGAUGGGAGAGCUGGGACCCUAGGGAGGAUAGGACCCACCCAAGAAGGCACAGCCAGGUCUGCGAAGCUAAGGCUGUCAAAGCGGGGGUUCCUGGGAAGUGAGCCCGGGCUCAUCAUCACCUUUACCUGGUACCUUCCCCGGGCUCCUCUAACCUCCCCUUCCCCUCUUCCUCCUCUCCCUCCCCUCCCCUCCCCAUUUUGAGGCUCCAAAAAGCCAAGUGGCAGAGGCCAGACCAGAUCUUCCUUGGGGGCAGCCAGUGCCUGGCUCAGUCGAGGUGCUCAUCCGAAGCCACACUCAGAGACGGGAGGAACUCUGAAGCAGACUGCUGAUUUCGCCCAGCACCCCCAGCACCUCCAGGACUGGCCCAGGAACCGGGCCGCAGGAUGCCCGCUUCCUCCCGCUUAGACUAGAUUCACAGCCUGAUUUCUCCGGAUCCACUUCACCUCAGUCUAUCCACAGGUGCCACCAGGGCUGGGCAUACGUCAGGCACCAGGCCUCUGUUCCCUGGGCUGAUAUAACCCCCUCAAGAGGACAGACGUGCAGGACGCCACAACGGCAGCGAGGGGUCCUGAGUGUCAUUGAAGAUAACCAAGACCGACGCUCUGCCUUAAAGCAACUCACCAUCUGACGGAGGUGUCACGCGUGACGGUCACGAUUAUGAUGACACAGUUCUGCGAGGGGCACCAGGACGGGACCGUUAACGUGUUCUCACCUGUGUCAGGUGCGUAUUUUAGUCUCAUUUAAUCCUGGCCAGCACCUGGUGUGGUUCGUGCUAUUGCUUUCCCCAGGAAGAAACUGAGGUGGGCCAAAGCUUCGGAGCAUGUCCAAGGUACACGGAUUGGAUCCCAACUCAGAUCUGAGCCUGCGAUCGGCUGGGCCUGGAGGAGCCUGUGCUCCUGCCCUGCUACGUGGCUUCUUGAAGGCAAACGUGGACCCAGCAUGCCCCGGCAUGGACCCCGCGAUGGACACAGGCCUUGAAGAGGGUGACAGACACAUCAGGCACGGCGCAUGUGCCCCCCGCCCCCCGACAUUGGACAUGGAAGUGCCACACGUGUGCUCACACACACGCACACGCAGCACUCAGCGCUCUCCCCCUUGAAUGUGUAUAAAUCCCAGCUCGGUGGAGCUGAGGGUCACGUAGAAGAA